GGUUAUAGCUCAGUUGAUAGAGUGCUUGCCUUGCAUGCACAAGGCUCUGGGUUCAAUCCCUAGCACCA
rnacentral:tRNA from 1 species